rnacentral:lncRNA from 1 species
UGAAGUCCUGUUAAGAGGACUCAUGAUGACAUAAUCUCAUUUUUUUUUUUUAAGGCAAUCACUCUCCUAGCCCUGGGCACCAAGAAGAAAGACUUGGGAUGGGGAGCCCAUUCGGCUUAGUAACCUACAGAAGCAGAGAUGGCGACACAAACAGGAAAGGGGCUGAAGAGAGGCAGACAAGAGGGCAGAUUCCAGCAAGAUUUAAGAAGCUGAAAAUAUGGAGCUGACAUCAGACAGGAUGUGAAGGGAAGGGGAGAAUCCAGGAAGUGACAAGAGAUUUCCAGCUUGGGCAGCUCUGGGUGUGCUGUCCAUCACUGAGGUUGCACUGCCACAUACACAGCAGGGUGCUGGCAGAGCCACAUGGAGGAGGACACUUACCAUUGGUCUUCAGUAACCACCUCAGCACAUUUCACAUGGACAGAAAGAUGGUGCUCCUGUUGUGGAAUAGCUGCCUCAGCCCAUCUGUUGAACACAACACUUGGACCUGAGCCCUACCCUCAUGCCCCAGCCUGAAUGAUUCUUUUGAACCACCAAACAUGGAUGGUCCUGAUCUUUUGUUGGCGCAGACAGCAGUCAUACUUGAACUGUGACUGCUAAUAAAACUCCUGAUGGAACAGUAUUCAUCUUCUGGAACAUUCUGGAAUCAUUUCACUAGAUACCUUUGCAGGGCUAAAUCUCAGGCAGGAAUUUCACCAGUCUCAGUUCUGCCUCCUGGAGAAGGGAAGACAGCUCAGUAACAUUUCCUCUAUUUAAAUGAGAAACAACAUAGGGUGUAUAGAUUUGGGGCAGGUUGGGGACUUUCUGUGUAGUUUAAUUUUGUCAGUGGGUUGUUUUACAUGAUUAUACCCUGAAGCUUGCAAAUGGGAAAGGGGUUAUCUCAUCCUUUCACCAAGUGGAGCCAUCUCUAAAGAUCUUUGAUAUGUUAGGCAUGCCCUACACAUGAGGGAUUUUGAUGAACAGGACCAAGUCCCCACUCUCCUCC